UACGAAGGGGGCUAGCGUUGCUCGGAAUCACUGGGCGUAAAGCGCACGUAGGCGGAUUGUUAAGUCAGGGGUGAAAUCCUGGAGCUCAACUCCAGAACUGCCUUUGAUACUGGCGAGCUUGAGUCCGGGAGAGGUGAGUGGAACUGCGAGUGUAGAGGUGAAAUUCGUAGAUAUUCGCAAGAACACCAGUGGCGAAGGCGGCUCACUGGCCCGGUACUGACGCUGAGACGCGAAAGCGUGGGGAGCAAACAGG
rnacentral:rRNA from 1 species